rnacentral:lncRNA from 1 species
CUAUUCUAUUAUGGUAGCUGACAUGGACUGCUGUGGCCAUUCCUAAGCCAGAGAGAGCUCUUGGUAUUUGGAAAGGAGUCAUCUGAAGCAGGGCACGGAUUCUACCUUUAUGGAUAUGGAUAUGAGAGCUGGCCCUAUUCUAUGGAGCAUCUGGUUUGGCCUCCAGUCCAAAGUAAUUGCCUACCUCAGACGUGUGUAGCAGAUGUGGAGAGGAGACACAGAGCCCAGAGAAGGCGGAAGGUAAUAAGAAUUGUUUACCAAGCGACCCUUUGGAGGAGCUGCUCGAGGAGGACCACAAAGUCAUAAAUCCUCUUGACAAAGCUCCAAAGCAUAUACAGUUCACCAAAGCCUAUUUUCCUGAUAACCAGAGAAAUCCUGCUGUUGUUUGUUCAUUCCACCAAUGAAAUACUCUUUAAUUUAUUUUAUUAUUAUAGAUGAUGCACCAGAAAAUAAUCCUGUAUAAGGCAGAUGCCCAAAGUAACCUUGGUGUUCAGAGGUCAGUGAGACAAAGUUAGUAAGAAAUUAUUAAAGCCUUAUUCUCACUGAUUAAAAGGCCAUUUGAAUGUUUUCUGAAGAUGUAGUUAAUGGGCCAAGCCAAAGCUUACUGAAUAAAGUAGCUAAUGUAACUAUUUAUUUGUUGUUG